rnacentral:tRNA from 1 species
GGCCUGCUAGCUCAGUCGGUAAGAGCGUCGUGCUAAUAACGCGAAGGUCGUAGGUUCGAUCCCUGCGCAGGCCA